rnacentral:rRNA from 1 species
GUCGAGAAUCUUUCACAAUGGGGGCAACCCUGAUGGAGCGACGCCGCGUGGAGGAUAAGGUCUUCGGAUUGUAAACUCCUGUCAUGCGUGAACAAGGUUGCUUGGAUAAUACCUGAGCAAAUUGAUGGUAGCGCAAGAGGAAGAGACGGCUAACUCUGUGCCAGCAGCCGCGGUAAUACAGAGGUCUCAAGCGUUGUUCGGAAUCACUGGGCGUAAAGGGUGCGUAGGUGGCGUGGCAAGUCAGAUGUGAAAGCCCGGGGCUCAACCUCGGAACUGAAUCCGAUACUGCCAUGCUAGAGUACUGGAGAGGUGACUAGAAUUCUCGGUGUAGCAGUGAAAUGCGUAGAUAUCGAGAGGAAUACCAAAGGCGUAGGCAGGUCACUGGACAGUUACUGACACUGAGGCACGAAGGCCAGGGGAGCGAACGGGAUUAGAAACCCGUGUAGUCC